rnacentral:rRNA from 1 species
CACCCGAAGCCGGUGGCCUAACCCCUUGUGGGAGGGAGCCGUCGAAGGUGGGAUCGGCGAUUGGGACGAAGUCGUAACAAGGUAGCCGUACCGGAAGGUGCGGCUGGAUCACCUCCUUUCUAAGGAG